GGCUGUGAGGGCGAUCUAGCUAUCGCCCCAUUGAUCACCAAGGUUGAUUCUGCUGAUCUGGCUGGCUAGGCAAGUGUCCCCUUCCUCCCUCAUUGCUCCAUGUAUGUCCCUCUGGAAGCUGUGUGCUCAGUCGAAGAGGACAACCACCCCUGAUAAGAGGAGGACCAUUUCCUUGGUCAAGGGUAUAUGAGUAGCUGCACUCCCCUGCCAGAACCUUUAGUCAGGUUCUCAAGAGAAUUCCCCUGUGUCUGUGUCUGUGUAUUAGCAACAGGUAGCUUCAUCACUGGGUGGAACAACUUCUGGGAGGUGGUCUUUGGA
rnacentral:snRNA from 1 species